UACGGAGGGUGCAAGCGUUAUCCGGAUUUACUGGGUUUAAAGGGUGCGUAGGCGGAUAGGUAAGUCAGGGGUGAAAUCUUCGAGCUUAACUCGGAAACUGCCUUUGAUACUAUCUAUCUUGAAUAUUGUGGAGGUAAGCGGAAUAUGUCAUGUAGCGGUGAAAUGCUUAGAUAUGACAUAGAACACCUAUUGCGAAGGCAGCUUACUACGCAUAUAUUGACGCUGAGGCACGAAAGCGUGGGGAGCAAACAGG
rnacentral:rRNA from 1 species